UACGUAGGGGGCUAGCGUUGUCCGGAUUUAUUGGGCGUAAAGAGCGUGUAGGCGGCCAGGUAGGUCUGGUGUGAAAACUCGAGGCUUAACCUCGAGAUGUCAUCGGAAACCAUCUGGCUAGAGUCCGGAAGAGGAGAGUGGAAUUCCUGGUGUAGCGGUGAAAUGCGCAGAUAUCAGGAAGAACACCAAUGGCGAAAGCAGCUCUCUGGGACGGUACUGACGCUGAGACGCGAAAGCGUGGGGAGCGAACAGGG
rnacentral:rRNA from 1 species